CGGGACGGGUGAGUAACGCGUGGGUAACCUGCCUCAUACAGGGGGAUAACAGUUAGAAAUGACUGCUAAUACCGCAUAAGACCACGGAGCCGCAUGGCUCAGUGGGAAAAACUCCGGUGGUAUGAGAUGGACCCGCGUCUGAUUAGGUAGUUGGUGAGGUAACGGCCCACCAAGCCGACGAUCAGUAGCCGACCUGAGAGGGUGACCGGCCACAUUGGGACUGAGACACGGCCCAG
rnacentral:rRNA from 1 species